rnacentral:lncRNA from 1 species
UUUAGUAAUAAACCUGUAACCUAGUAAGUAAACUUUUUCCUGAGUUCUGUGAGACACUCUAGCAAACUAGUUGAACCCAAGUAAGGGGUUCUGGGAACCUCUGGUUUAUAGGUGGUGGGAAGCAUGGGUAAUGACCUGAACUGGUGAUUGGCAUCUGAAAGGGAGGGAGGCAAUCCAAUGGGACUGAACCCUUAGCCUGUGGGAUCUGACACUAUCUUCAAGUAGACAGUGUCAGAAUUGAGUUAAAUUGUAGGACACCCAACUGGUAUUGCAGAAUUACUUGAUGUGUGGAAAAUUCACAUAGCUGGAGUCAGAAGUGAAGUAGUAUCAUAAUACUGAGACUAAAGGAGACAAACCAGGGAUUUUUCCUUUACAACAAGUUCAUUGUGGGGUAAGUUUCUCUCCUAGUUCUUACUGUUGCACUCAGGAUGCUCUUUGAGGAGUAUGAUGAUGCUAUAGGCAUUCCUCAGUGUCCCUUGAUUUUUUUUGAACCUAGCCUGAAGAACAUUUUUAUUCUUAAUGGUAAGAAUGGCUACCACAUCCUCUGCUAUUAUCUUGAUUUUCUUUGGAUAAUUUUCAUCCCCCAAACUUGCUGACUUUCUUCCACUUGCUCUCUUAGCUCUGGGCUCUCAGGGCAUUGGUUCAGCUCAAGUUCUUAGAGAAAACACACCCAAUAGGGGCCACAGUCAAGCCCCACCUGGCAUUUCCAGGGCAUAUUUAUUACACUUUUUGGUGCCUCUUGGACUCAGAUAAAACAGAGCUGGAAAAGACCUUGAAGAGCUAAAAUAAUAGCUGUAUUUUACUGAUAAGGAAAUAGGCCCAGUGAAGAAGAGAUUUUCUCAAGUUCCCUCACUACUAGAUGGCAGGAGAGUCACCACAAAAACCUUGGCCUCAAGCCUCUCUGUCCAAAGCACAAUAACACACCCCCAAGGAAUCCACAUCUAAAUUUCAGGGGACCUUGGAUGAAACAUAGGUAUUUCCACUGUUAAAACAAAAAGCCCAUCCUAGGACAAUUUUUUUUUCUUCUUUUAAAGAUUUUAUUUACUUAUUCAUGAGACACACAGAGAGAGAGGCAGAGACAUAGGCAGAGAAAGAAGUAAGCUUCCUGUGGGGAGCCUGAUGCAGGUGGGGCUUGAUCCCAGGACCCCGGGAUCACAACGUGAGCUGAAGGCAGACGUUCAACCACUGAGCCACCCAGGCAUCCCGGACAAUUCUUUUAUCAUAAUUCUAUAGUCCUAUUAUUUAUACUCAGUCAAUUUUCAAUUGUGGCUGACACAAUGGGAUCAAGGAACACAAGUAUUAAGUAAAAUUUAUCACAGCCAUAAUUAAAGUGUAUUGAUGUGUUUAUCUAUAAGACAUCGGGCUGCUGCUCCAGAAGAUCAUCUUCCUGAGAAUAGGCACUCUGUCCAUAUCCCCAUUGCCUCCACAGGAAACUGCCAGUUAAAACAUUCAGUAAGUAUCUGUGGAAUGGAUAAAUAACAGUUACCAGGAAUAACUAACUUUUACUGAUGUUGUCCAAUCCCAAUCAUAUUUCCAAACAAAUCCUAUCCUGGGUUUAUACUGAAGAAAUAAAAGCAUGGCCUUAGGAAAAGCGUCCAAGACUUGAUAUAUUUAUUUAGCUAUUAUUAUUUUUUUAAGAUUUUAUUUAUUUAUUCAUGAGAGACAGAGAGAGAAGGCAGAGACAUAGGCAAAGGUAGAAGUAGGCUCCCUGUGGGGCGCCCAAUGCGGAACUCUAUCCCAGGACCCCAGGAUCACAACCUGAGCCAAAGGCAGAGGCUCAACCACUGAGCCACCCAGGCAUCACUAGGUAUUAUUAUUGUUAAAGUAAGCUCUAUAUCCAACAUGAGGCUUGCACUCACAACCCUAAGAUUAGGAUGUUACAUGCUCUAUCUACUUAGCCAGCCAGGCACCCCAUAAAGCAGUCCAAGAUUUCAAUACCAGCUUCAUCACAUAUUACAUAUGCUUUAGUGGAUGAUUACACUAUCCUCUUUCAGUCUAUUCUGCUUACAUAUAAAAUACAGAAGGAAGCAUUAACCAGGAGAGUUUCUGGAUGUUCAAAUUAACAUCAGUAGAAAAAGCUCCCAAUCCCGGCAUCAUAGUCAUUGAUGUGCUUCUUAGAAAUAUCUGAGGAAUAUAUG